AGAACGAACGCUGGCGGCAUGCCUAACACAUGCAAGUCGAACGAAGCCUUCGGGCUUAGUGGCGCACGGGUGCGUAACGCGUGGGAACCUGCCUUUAGGUUCGGAAUAACUCUCCGAAAGGGGUGCUAAUACCGAAUAAUGUCUUCGGACCAAAGAUUUAUCGCCUUUAGAUGGGCCCGCGUUGGAUUAGCUAGUUGGUGGGGUAAAGGCCUACCAAGGCGACGAUCCAUAGCUGGUCUUAGAGGAUGAUCAGCCACACUGGGACUGAGACACGGCCCAGACUCCUACGGGAGCAGCAGUGGGGAAUAUUGGACAAUGGGCGAAAGCCUGAUCCAGCAAUGCCGCGUGAGUGAUGAAGGCUUAGGUGUAAAGCUCUUUACCAGGAUGAUAAUGACAGUACCUAGGAGAAAUAAGCUCCGGACUAACUCCGUGCCAGCAGCCGC
rnacentral:rRNA from 1 species